GUGCCAGCAGCCGCGGUAAUACGUAGGCAGCGAGCGUUGUUCGGAGUUACUGGGCGUAAAGAGUGCGUAGGUGGCUCUCUAAGUUUGGUGUGAAAUCUCCCGGCUCAACUGGGAGGGUGCGCCGAAAACUGGAGGACUAGAGUGUGGGAGAGGAAAGCGGAAUUCCUGGUGUAGCGGUGAAAUGCGUAGAUAUCAGGAGGAACACCUGCGGUGUAGACGGCUUUCUGGACCACUACUGACACUGAGGCACGAAAGCGUGGGGAGCAAACAGGAUUAGAUACCCGCGUAGUCC
rnacentral:rRNA from 1 species